rnacentral:misc_RNA from 1 species
AGCAGCCGCGGUAAUUCCAGCUCCAAUAGCGUAUAUUAAAGUUGUUGCAGUUAAAAGCUCGUAGUUGAAUUUUGGAUUCUACCAAUUGGUCCAUCUUUGGAUGAGUACUGGUUGUGUGGGGUCUUACCGCCUGGUAAUACGUAAUGUCCUUUAUUGGAUGUUGCGGGUAGCCAGGACUUUUACCUUGAAAAAUUGAGUGUUUAAAGCAGGCUUAUGCCGGAAUACAUUAGCAUGGAAUAAUAGAAUAGGACGAAGUUGUUUUAUUUUGUUGGUUUCUAGGACAACCGUAAUGAUUAAUAGGGAUAGUUGGGGCAUUAGUAUUCAAUUGUCAGAGGUGAAAUUCUUGGAUUUAUUGAAGACUAACUACUGCGAAAGCAUUUGCCAAGGAUGUUUUCAUUAAUCA